rnacentral:tRNA from 3 species
GCCGCUUUAGCUCAGUCGGUAGAGCAACUGAUUUGUAAUCAGUAGGUCGUCCGUUCGAAUCGGACAAGCGGCACCA